GAUGAACGCUGGCGGCGUGCUUAACACAUGCAAGUCGAACGAAGCAUUUAGGACAGAUUACUUCGGUUUGAAGUUCUUUAUGACUGAGUGGCGGACGGGUGAGUAACGCGUGGGUAACCUGCCUUGUACUGGGGGAUAGCAGCUGGAAACGGCUGGUAAUACCGCAUAAGCGCACAAUGUUGCAUGACAUGGUGUGAAAAACUCCGGUGGUAUAAGAUGGACCCGCGUCUGAUUAGCUAGUUGGUGAGAUAACAGCCCACCAAGGCGACGAUCAGUAGCCGAACUGAGAGGGUGACCGGCAACAUUGGGAAGGAGACACGGCCCAGACUCCUACGGGAGGGAGAAGUGGGGAAUAUUGCACAAUGGAGGAAACUCUGAUGCAGCGACGCCGCGUAAGUGAAGAAGUAAUUCGUUAUGUAAAGCUCUAUCAGCAGGGAAGAUAGUGACGGUACCGGACUAAGAAGCUCCGGCUAAAUACGU
rnacentral:rRNA from 1 species